rnacentral:rRNA from 1 species
GAUGAACGCUGGCGGCGUGCCUAAUACAUGCAAGUCGAGCGAACGGACGAGAAGCUUGCUUCUCUGAUGUUAGCGGCGGACGGGUGAGUAACACGUGGAUAACCUACCUAUAAGACUGGGAUAACUUCGGGAAACCGGAGCUAAUACCGGAUAAUAUUUUGAACCGCAUGGUUCAAAAGUGAAAGACGGUCUUGCUGUCACUUAUAGAUGGAUCCGCGCUGCAUUAGCUAGUUGGUAAGGUAACGGCUUACCAAGGCAACGAUGCAUAGCCGACCUGAGAGGGUGAUCGGCCACACUGGAACUGAGACACGGUCCAGACCCCUACGGGAGGCAGCAGUAGGGAAUCUUCCGCAAUGGGCGAAAGCCUGACGGAGCAACGCCGCGUGAGUGAUGAAGGUCUUCGGAUCGUAAAACUCUGUUAUUAGGGAAGAACAUAUGUGUAAGUAACUGCGCACAUCUUGACGGUACCUAAUCAGAAAGCCACGGCUAACUACGUG